rnacentral:lncRNA from 1 species
GAAUGAAUAAUCGAUAAUGUAGAAAAGGUUCAGGAAAAAAAAAAGAUUAAUAAGUCUUGGGAAUAACAGUCUUUCUCUGCAUGUCCCUUACAGAUAUGUUGGCUGUGAUUAAAUCCUUCAGAAAAGACUGUUCUUUGACCAAAUGGAGUUCCUGGCUACUCAGAAUGAAUUGUAGUGAAAGAGGGAAGCUCAGAACAAAGAAUACACAAUGUGAUCACGGGGCUAUUUGGGAACUCAAGAAUUGCACUGCAGGUUCAACCGUUCUAUGUUCUUCCUGGCGUAUCUCCUGUGGUUUUGGGUGCAGAAGGAAAGAAUUUUGAAAAACUGAAGAUGAAUGUCUGUUUGUUGCUCACAGUGUAAAACAAGUAGCAUAGCAUGGCAAGAUACUUCAACUUGAUAAACUUCUAUUUCCUCGAUUGAGAUAUCAAAGUUAUACUGAGUAAACUGAAUCAUUGAAAGUGACCAGUUGAGUUUCAAAAUAUUGCAGAAAGAACUGUGGACAUAGUUUUUUUUAAAUUUUUAAUUUAUUUUUAUUUUUAU